CCGGCUGCACCGGCCGGGGGCACCGGGGACACCGCCGGCACCGGAAACACCGGGAGUGCCGGGGACACCGGGGGUGCAGGCGGCACCGCCGGGACCGGGAGCUCCAGGAGUACCGGGAGCAGCGGGGGUACCGGGGGAACCAUGAUCUGCGGCUGGAAGGCACGUCCCGCCGUCGAGCAGCCCCGCUCCCCGUCGGACGGCGCCGGGGGCCCCCGCCGGCCCGGUAGAGCAUUGAAGAAAAUGGGUCUGACGGAGGACGAGGACAUCCAGCGGAUGCUCCGGGGGUCCCUGCUCCGGAAGAUCAAGUCCCGGGGGAGCCCCAGGGAGCGGCUCUUCCGUCUGCAGGAGGAUGGGGCCACCGUCUGCUUCGAGGGGCGCUUCAGGCGUGCUCGCGCCCAGCGGAGCUUCUCGGUGAUGCACAUCGAGGGGGUGCGUGAGGGACACCAGUCAGAGGGUCUUCGCAAGCACGGGGCUGCCUUCCCCGCGCCGCACUGCUUCACCCUCACCUUCAAGGGCAAGCGCAAGAACCUCGACCUGGCUGCCCGCAGCGAGGAGGACGCCCGCCACUGGGUGCAAGGGCUCACCAAGCUGAUGGGGCGGCUGCAAGCCAUGAGUCAACCCGAGAAGCUCGACCACUGGAUCCAUGGGGUCCUGCAGCGAGCAGACAGGAACAAGGACAACAAGAUGUCAUUCCAGGAGGUGAAGAGCAUGCUGAGGAUGAUCAACAUUGACAUGAAUGAUGUCUAUGCCUACAAGCUCUUCAAGGAUUGUGACUGCUCGGGUGACGAGCGGCUGGAGGGGCGGGAGCUGGAGGAGUUCUGCCGGCGGCUGCUGCGGCGCCCGGAGCUGGAGGAGGUUUUCGGGCAUUACUCGGGUGAGGAUCGUGUCCUGUCGGCUGAGGAGCUGCGGGAUUUCCUACGGGAUCAGGGGGAGGACGCCAGCCUGCGCCAGGCCCGCGCCAUCAUCCGCUCCUACGAGCUCAAUGAGAAGGCCAGGCAGCAGGACUUCAUGACCCUGGAUGGCUUCAUGAUGUACCUCCUCUCUGCCGCCGGUGACAUCCUCAACCAGGAGCACACCAAGGUGCACCAGGACAUGAGCCAGCCCCUGUGCCACUACUUCAUCUCCUCCUCCCACAACACCUACCUGACCCACCACCAGAUCGGUGGCACCAGCAGCACCGAAGCCUAUGUCCGGGCGCUGGCAGCAGGGUGCCGCUGUGUGGAGCUGGACUGCUGGGAGGGCGCCCAUGGGGAACCUGUGGUCUACCACGGCCACGCGCUCACCUCCAAAAUCCUCUUCCGGGACGUCAUUGAGAGCAUCCGUGACUACGCCUUCAAGCAAUCCCCCUACCCCGUCAUCCUGUCCCUGGAGAACCACUGCGGGCUGGAGCAGCAGGUCACCAUGGCCCGGCACAUGAGGUCCAUCCUGGGGGACAUGCUGCUGACGGAGCCGCUGGAGGGGCAGGACCCCCACGACCUCCCGUCCCCGGAGCAGCUGAAGGGGAAGAUCCUGGUGAAGGGCAAGAAGCUGCCGGAGCCAUGGCAUGAGCCCCAGGAUGUCACCUCCCUGCUGGACCCUGAGGAGGAGGAAGAAGAGGAGGAGGAGGAAGAAGAUGAGGAGAAGCUGAAGGAGAGAAACAGGCGGCGGUCACUGCAGUCACCGCAGGAGAGCAAACCUCUGCAGGCCAAGGAUGCUUCAGAGGUGGCCGCGGCGCUGUCGGCCAUGGUGGUGUAUUGCCAGGCUGUGCCCUUCCCCGGCCUGGCCCAUGCCCUGCGUCACCCCCGGCCCUGCGAGAUCUCCUCCUUCAGCGAGAGGAAGGCUCGGAAGCUCAUCAGGGAGGCGGGCCCAGCACUGGUGCAGUACAACACCCGCCAGCUCAGCCGCGUGUACCCGCUGGGGCUGAAGAUGAACUCCUCCAACUACAACCCCCAGGAGAUGUGGAACGCCGGCUGCCAGCUGGUGGCACUCAACUUCCAGACGCCGGGAUAUGAGAUGGACCUGAACACCGGGCGCUUCCUGGGCAAUGGGGGCUGUGGGUACGUGCUGAAGCCCCCCUGCCUGCGCAGCCCCCCUGGAGAUGGGCCCGGGCGCCUGGUACUGCAUGUCAGGGUGAUCACGGCGCAGCAGCUACCGAAGCUGAGCAAGGACAAGGCCAGUUCCAUCGUGGACCCCUUCGUGCGGGUGGAGGUCCACGGCGUCGCGGCCGACUGCAGCAAGCAGCAGACCCACCACAAGCUCAACAACGUCCCCUUAUACCCCAGUGCAGGAUGGCAGCUAAGCUGAGGCAGGGGGGAGCGCUCUGGUGGGUCAGACUGGUCCCUGCAUCCGUGGUGGCCCUGGCGGCUGUGGUGGCCCUGGUGGCAGCGCCACCUCCCAUCCCGGUGCCGCAGGCUUCAACCCGCGCUGGGACGAGACGCUGAGCUUCGAGCUGCAGGCGCCGGACCUGGCGCUGCUGCGCUUCGUGGUGGAGGACCACGACAGCACCUCCUGCAACGACUUCGUGGGGCAGUUCACGCUGCCCAUGGGCAGCCUGCGGGAAGGGUAUCGGCACAUCCAUCUGCUCUCCAAGGAUGGCACGUCCCUGUCCCCCGCCACGCUCUUCGUGCACGUUCGAUGCAAGAGCCUGUGAGGUGCCAGCUCAAGGGACAUUGUGUCCCUGUGUAGGGGACAACAUGCUCCUCCAUGGGAUGGGCACCGUCCUGUGCUACAGACACCCCACACCCUGUGUGGGGACAGCCUGGGGGUGUCACUCGCCUGGCCACGGGGACACAGGGGGUAGGGGACCCCCUCCAUGUCCCCUAGUGCCACCCCAUCUGCCAGCCCAUGUGCCCCACUCCUCCCCUCCCUGGCUAUGACCCUACGUGGACAGAGGUGCUGUGACAAUGAGGACAGGGUGGCCAGGCCAUUGACAGCCCAGCACAGCCCUGGGAGGGGGGGUGAGAGGGGUGACAGCAAGCCCCAAAUGUCACCAAGCCCUGGAUGUGCUUGAUCCCAGCCCCUCCUUGGCCUACAAGGACAGUGCCAUCACCAUGAGGUCCUCAAGGCCACCAUGCAGCCCCUGAGGGGACCCUGCCACCACAUGCCUUAUGUGCCCCUGGCUUGGCCGGGGGCUGUUCCCAACCCCCGCGCCAGCACCGGUGACAGUCACAGAUUUACACCCCGGUGUUAAGCCAGUCAAAUAAAGGUUUUAUUUUAACAGA